UACGGAGGGUGCGAGCGUUGUCCGGAUUUAUUGGGUUUAAAGGGUGCGUAGGUGGCUAGUUAAGUCAGUGGUGAAAUACAGCCGCUCAACGGUUGAGGUGCCAUUGAUACUGAUUAGCUUGAAAUAAUUGGAGGCUGCCGGAAUGGAUGGUGUAGCGGUGAAAAUGCAUAGAUAUCAUCCAGAACACCGAUUGCGAAGGCAGGUGGCUACGAUUUAUUUGACACUGAGGCACGAAAGCAUGGGGGAGCAAACAGG
rnacentral:rRNA from 1 species